rnacentral:rRNA from 1 species
UACGUAGGGUGCAAGCGUUAAUCGGAAUUACUGGGCGUAAAGCGUGCGCAGGCGGUUUUGUAAGUCUGUCGUGAAAGCCCCGGGCUCAACCUGGGAAUGGCGAUGGAUACUGGCGGGCUAGAGUGCGGUAGAGGGUGGUGGAAUUCCCGGUGUAGCAGUGAAAUGCGUAGAGAUCGGGAGGAACAUCAGUUGCGAAGGCGGCCACCUGGACCAGCACUGACACUGAGGCACGAAGGCGUGGGGAG